AGUUGUGUUUGGCCAUAGUUUUUGAAAUUAUAGUUUUUGGUGAAAUGUAGUGUAAAAAAGUGAAAAAAGUUGAAAUUUUUUGAAAAACAAGUUUUUCUUGUUUUUAGUAUUCCUGAGUACAACUCCAGAAAAAAGUGAAUAAUUUUUAUGGCCAAACGCUAAAGGUAAAAAAGGUGAAAAAAAUUUUCGGAAAAAAGUGAAUAAUUUUUAUGGCCAAACGCCCACUUAAUUUUUAUGGCCUGUAUACUGCUGCACUUAAGGUAGACGUUAGGUUGAAAUGGCUCACUUUCUUUUUUCCUUCCAACAUUCUAUGACGUACUAUAUUGUUUGUAAAAAUAUUUACCGGAAAAGCAAGUUUUUUAUGGCUUGUAUACUGCUAUACUUAAGGUAGACAUUUGUUUAUCUGCUUGUGUCUCAUUUCAAAUUUUUAAUGCAUAAUUGCUAUCGUUUCCUUAUGCUGAAGUAACAAAAGAGAAAUUUUUUCAAAUCGCUAGGAUUUUAAGAUUGUAAGAACUGAAGAUGUUAGAAAUAACCACUGCAUGUCGCAUGAAGUUGUCACAUUUUGAAUAGAACUUUUAUCAGUAAUGAGCAAAUUUCCAGGUGUGCUCAUUCAGGUGUAUGAAGAGAAAGGAUAAUGACCGAGGACAACAACCUUCUUGGUAAAGUAAUUUGAGAAAAGAUGACAACAGAACAGAGGGAGAAAACAGAGAACAGUGUAUUAUAGUGAAUUGUUGGCUAGAGUUGAUACACUUGUGGAAAUUAAAGGGAAUACGAGGUAUAUUACACUGCUGAAAGGGAAUCAAUACUACUGCUACCACUUAAGUAUAGGAGUAGAGCUGUUCUUCACUUCCUCUUAUAGGAAAUGUAAUAUGUAAAGUGAAGCAGCAUCAAGCGGACACUUAAGAAAUUACCAGAAUUCGUUUUACAUUAGCGUUUCUAUUUGAGUAGAGCCAUUCUGUUGGUCGCAUUCAGUGGAGCAUUUCCCAUUUUGGACAAGCUAAUGCCAAGGGAUUAAUUAUUUGAGCAGAAGAAGAUGACUUAUAACAUUUGAUGUCAACUUUGAGAAAAGUAGUUCUGUUGCUGUUUAUGAACAUUUCUCUUUUAGGCUUUCAGAGGUUGGAUCCAUAAGGUGCAUUCUAUUGCGUUGUCAUUGGCGAUACUUAUUUUUAGAUAGAUUGCUUUUCAAAGUGACUGACCCCUAAAGUGGUGAUAUAUGUUUUGUUUAAUGCACCGGGCGAUGCUAUCAGCUUGCUAAACUAUAAUUUUCAAGAUCGAGUUGAAAAUGUUCUAAAAUAUAUAGAGGAUGGAGAUAUUCACAGAUGGAGUUUGCUUGAUAUUAAGGAAUUGAAUUGCAUCACUAAUCCUCAUAUGUAUGAACAGGGCUGGCCUCACUCUGAUUUUUCGGUGAACGUCCGGUAGGGUACUCCUUUCCGUUUGGGUAGCAUGCAUAUUCAAGUACUGUUAUGUGCAUAAGAAAUGGAUUCUGCAUCAUUUAGCUCCAGAACACACAGCUCCUUCCUUAACACAGCUCCUUCAAGGAAGUGGCUAAAUGGAAUAUCUGUGUGUUCACACAACUCUUUUAAUGGCCCGGAGACUUUUGGAGCAUGCUAAGUCUGAGUCUACCACUUUUUUAAAGCUAUAAUGGAGCACAAACAUGGAUCUGCCAUGGACAAUGUCUUGAAUACAUAUGUUAUCACAUAAUAGGCACCUCCAGAUUGAUCACUCAAGCAAGUAUUUGUUGGACAAAUAGUUUAAUAUUCUAUUCCAGUAUUUUUUAGUUGUUGCACUGCUUCAUUUGUAGAUUUCUCAAUCCUGACUUCACUGAUAUUUACAUGUUUUUCUCAGGUUCCUCGACAUGUCCCUAUGCUAUGGUUUUUUGUAAUGCAGAAGAUUGGCUACUGAGAUUGGAACUUCAUCCACCACACUACAACUGUUAAAUUAGGAUUUCCUCAUGAUGUAUCUUAUAGAUACAUUUGGUGUAUUAUGUCUAUAAUAAUAAGUGGAGUAGUAGUUAUAUUUUUGGUGUAUUGCGUCUACAAUAACAAUGCUUGCAAAUGGUUUAACUAAACAGUACUUGUGUUUGUUGUACGUAUUGUGAAUAUAUAUAGUAGUAAUCUAUUAAGCAUGUAUUGCAGUAA